rnacentral:rRNA from 1 species
UGGGGAAUAUUGCACAAUGGGGGAAACCCUGAUGCAGCGACGCCGCGUGGGUGAAGAAGUAUUUCGGUAUGUAAAGCCCUAUCAGCAGGGAAGAAAAUGACGGUACCUGACUAAGAAGCCCCGGCUAACUACGUGCCAGCAGCCGCGGUAAUACGUAGGGGGCAAGCGUUAUCCGGAUUUACUGGGUGUAAAGGGAGCGUAGGUGGCGUGCCAAGUCAGGAGUGAAAACCCAGGGCCCAACCUUGGGACUGCUCUUGAAACUGGCAGGCUUGAGUGCUGGAGAGGUAAGCGGAAUUCCUAGUG